GUUUAUAACGUCGACGUCAUAAACACGAUCAACUUUGGUGUUUAUGAAGUCGAUAUUCGACGUCAUAAAAACGACGAACUUAGGUGUUUAUGACGUCGAUAUUCCACGUCAUAAACACGAUCAACUUUGGUGUUUAUGAAGUCGAUAUUCGACGUCAUAAUCACGAUCUAUUUAGGUGUUUAUGACGUCGAUAUUCGACGUCAUAAACACAAUCAAAUUUGGUGUUUAUGACGUCGAUAUUCGAC
rnacentral:miRNA from 1 species